GUACGUAGGCGGCACUUUAAAUUUCAAUGGAAGGUCCAUGGCGCAACCGUGGUGAUUUGUAACACUGUAGUGCUGGAGUUCGGCAGAGGUUGGCGGUACUCUUAGGGUAGGAUUGAAAACCUUGAAACCUAAGGGGACCCACAAGGGCGGAGGCAGCUAACCGGGUCAAACUGACGCUGAGGUACGGAGGCAUGGGGAUCGAACAGGAUUAGAUACCCUGGUAGUCCAUGCAGUCAACGAUGAAUGUUGGACGUUGGUUCGGGAGGAACCCGGAUUGGUGUCUAAGCUAACGCGUUAAACAUUCCGCCUGGAGAGUAAAGUCGCAAGACCGAAACUUAAAGGAAUUGGCGGGGGUCUAAACAAGCGGUGGAUUAUGUGGUUUAAUGCGAUACCUAGCGCAUAACCUUACCAGAUCGUGUUUUUUUGCGAAU
rnacentral:rRNA from 1 species